AGUCGAACGAGAGGACAAGAGAAGCUUGCUUCUUUUGAAGUCGAGUGGCAAACGGGUGAGUAACACGUAAACAACCUGCCUUCAGGAUGGGGACAACAGACGGAAACGACUGCUAAUACCGAAUACGCUUGGGAGACCGCAUGAUCUUCCAAGGAAAGGGUGGCCUCUACCUGUAAGCUAUCGCCUGAAGAGGGGUUUGCGUCUGAUUAGGCAGUUGGUGAGGUAACGGCCCACCAAACCUACGAUCAGUAGCCGGCCUGAGAGGAUGAACGGCCACACUGGAACUGAGACACGGUCCAGACUCCUACGGGAGGCAGCAGUGGGGAAUCUUCCGCAAUGGGCGAAAGCCUGACGGAGCAACGCCGCGUGAGUGAUGACGGCCUUCGGGUUGUAAAGCUCUGUGAUCGGGGACGAACGGUCCGUAAGCUAAUACCUUAUGGAAGUGACGGUACCCGAAUAGCAAGCCACGGCUAACUACGUGCCAGCAGCCGCGGUAAUACGUAGGUGGCAAGCGUUGUCCGGAAUUAUUGGGCGUAAAGCGCGCGCAGGCGGCUUUCUAAGUCCAUCUUAAAAGUGCGGGGCUUAACCCCGUGAUGGGAUGGAAACUGGAAAGCUGGAGUAUCGGAGAGGAAAGUGGAAUUCCUAGUGUAGCGGUGAAAUGCGUAGAGAUUAGGAAGAACACCGGUGGCGAAGGCGACUUU
rnacentral:rRNA from 1 species